CUGAUGGCUUGUCCAGACUAAGAAAAUGACAGAAUGGACUGUUUGGACCAAUUUGUUGAAGGCGAGCAGCCCAGGAUUCUUUCACCCAAUCUAAGUGGAUUUGUCAAUUACGUUAUCAGGAGAUAUGGAGAAUGUUUGGCAGCAGGUUCUCGAUGGAUUCCUUGUAAACAUCUGAAACUCCGCUUUGAUAAAUCGACAUUUAUCUGUAUAUUCAUGUGAUUACUCAUCAGCUUUCGGAAACACAUUUAAACUGUAGACAAGGAGACAUAUCAGGUUAACUUCAAGUAAACUGUAAUGUGCA